CAGGAUGGGAUCUCUACAGCAGAGGUCGAGCUGAGAGUCAGACCAGGAGACAACAUCACUCUCUACUGUGACUGUAACAUAACUACUGAAGUAUACAUUAUGUGGUAUAGGAACUGUUCUCACAAGUACCAGCCUCCUCUAGUUAUUUCAACUAAGUGUUUAAGUUCCAUCUCUCUCCCUGGAUAUGUGGUGUGAACCCCCUCUAACAACUCCUAUGAUCUACUGAUUGAGAACAUCACUGAAUCUGACUUGGGACUCUACUAAUGUGGGACUAUGGAGAACAAGGUAGUGGAUGAUGGAGGUAAAGGAGGUAUCAAAGUGAAAGAGUUGUACCACUAUGGAAACAUCACCACUAGGAUUUCACUUGAUACCAGUCCUCCUCCUCCUGUAGACUGUGGUCUGUGUUGGAUGUUGCUGUUCAGUCUGUGUCCUGUGUCUGCUCUCCUCUCCACUCUCCUCUCCUCCACCUGUCUACUCCUUCUACAGAACAACAGCUCCAACUGAGACUCAGGUUUCUCUGAACAGGACUACAACCAGGGGAAGUGACAGCAGAGAGCAGACUACAGUCAGAGGAAGGAGACCUGUGUCACACCUCAUUGGAUAUCCGUCAGGAACAGAGGAGACCAAGGAAGGAGUCCAGAACUCUGACUUCCGUACCUACUCAGCCAUCAAUACCAUCAGAGUGUGAGACCUGUACCAUCCAGCAAUACCAGCAAAGUGUGAGACCUGUACCAUCCAGCAAUACCAGCAGAGUGUGAGACCUAUACCAUCCAUCAAUACCAGCAGAGUGUGAGACCUGUACCAUCCAGCAAUACCAGCAAAGUGUGAGACCUGUACCAUCCAGCAAUACCAGCAGUGUGUGAGACCUGUACCAUCCAUCAAUACCAGCAGAGUGUGAGACCUAUACCAUCCAUCAAUACCAGCAGAGUGAGAGACCUAUACCAUCAAUCAAUACCAGCAUACUGAGAUCUAUACCAACAUUGCUUGAGGACAAGAAGGCAGCAGGAAUGAGCAGCAGAAACAGAGCUUUGGAGGCCACCCCCAGGACCCAGAUCAGACCACACUCAGGAAGGCAGCAGGAAUGAGGAGCAGAAACAGAGCUUUGGAGGCCACCACCAGGACCCAGAUCAGACCACAGUCAGCAGACACACCACAGUCAGGAAAGUCACAAGAGGUGAUGGUGUUGGAGUCUUCUGUAUAGUAGAG